CAAAGCGUAGCUUAAAUAAAGCAUCUAGUUUACACCUAGAAGAUUUCACACUUGACUGACCGCUUUGA
rnacentral:tRNA from 1 species